rnacentral:rRNA from 1 species
AUUGAACGCUGGCGGCAUGCCUUACACAUGCAAGUCGAACGGUAACAGGUCUUCGGAUGCUGACGAGUGGCGAACGGGUGAGUAAUACAUCGGAACGUGCCUAGUAGUGGGGGAUAACUACUCGAAAGAGUGGCUAAUACCGCAUGAGAUCCACGGAUGAAAGCAGGGGAUCGCAAGACCUUGUGCUACUAGAGCGGCCGAUGGCAGACUAGGUAGUUGGUGGGAUAAAAGCUUACCAAGCCGACGAUCUGUAGCUGGUCUGAGAGGACGAUCAGCCACACUGGGACUGAGACACGGCCCAGACUCCUACGGGAGGCAGCAGUGGGGAAUUUUGGACAAUGGGCGCAAGCCUGAUCCAGCAAUGCCGCGUGCAGGAUGAAGGCCUUCGGGUUGUAAACUGCUUUUGUACGGAACGAAAAGCCCUGGGUUAAUACCCUGGGGUCAUGACGGUACCGUAAGAAUAAGCACCGGCUAACUACGUGCCAGCAGCCGCCGUAAAAC